CGAAAUCAUCAUAGGUUUGUGUCAAAAAUUUCUUAAAAAUACUAAAGGUCUCAGUAACAAAAGAAAUAAUUUAAAAAUUUGCAUAAAAGGAUAAGAAACAAGAAAAAUAAAUCAGUACGGAUAGGCAUCCUCCCCUAGACUUAAACCACACUGUCUCCAGUGUGUAAAAGUCGGUGAAAAGAUGAUGAAUAAAAGCAAAAAAGUCUAAAAUAAAAGAAAAUAAAGGAAAAGAAAAUUAUAUUAGAACCGUAGUAAUUACGAGAUGAUGAAUGGACGCAGGCUUAUGUCUCUCGGCUUCUAUCAGUCUCUGUGGCAGAUGAAUCGUUAUUGAAUUGGUGGUUCUUCUUCAGGAACCGCUUCAUGCGCCUGUUAAGUUUCUCAUGCUGCUCUAUCUUCCUCUCCAAAGCUGCGAAAUCUGCAUCACUCUUGGUGGAUGACCUGGGGCGAGAUUAUCUAGAUCUGAUGGGCAUUGGUGCAGGUUGGAGUCUUCUGCGAGUCUCAGCUGCAUCCCUCUUUGCUUUCGCAGCCAGGAACUGACUCACAGUCAAUGGAAGAAGUGGAACAGAUGGUAAGAAGUCUUGUGUACCUGGUCUCCAUUCAGGGUUUGCGCCAUCUCUGAGUCUAGGGACUGAGUCUGAUGGUAAGAGAACUCUGAAAUCAGAUGUGUCAGUGCAGAACUUAUAGGCGUAUCCAAUAGUUCCAUGCUUGUCCUGGAUAUGGUUCUGUCUCUGGAGAGCUGAGAUAGGUCAAACCAGUCUUCACGAAGAGGGGUCUCGGCUGAUAGAUCAACUCCUGAUGCAAGCAUAAUCGCAGUGAUGAUGCUUCCAAAGGCUGGUGAGGUGUCUUGGCAAUCAGACUUGAGAACUUCAU
rnacentral:lncRNA from 1 species